rnacentral:rRNA from 1 species
UACGGAGGGUGCGAGCGUUGUCCGGAAUCACUGGGCGUAAAGGGCGCGUAGGCGGCUCAUGAAGGCUGUGGUGAAAGUCCGGGGCUCAACCUCGGAUCGGCCGUGGCGACUCGUGGGCUGGAGCACUGUAGAGGCGGGUGGAAUUCCGGGUGUAGCGGUGGAAUGCGUAGAUAUCGAGAGGAACACCUGCGGCGAAGGCGGGUUGCUGGGCUGACACUGACGCUGAGGCGCGAAAGCUAGGGGAGCGAACGGG